CAGUAGCCGCGGGAAUACGUAGGGUGCAAGCGUUAAUCGGAAUUACUGGGCGUAAAGCGUGCGUAGGCGGCUUCUUAAGUCGGAUGUGAAAUCCCUGAGCUUAACUUAGGAAUUGCAUUCGAUACUGGGAAGCUAGAGUAUGGGAGAGGAUGGUAGAAUUCCAGGUGUAGCGGUGAAAUGCGUAGAGAUCUGGAGGAAUACCGAUGGCGAAGGCAGCCAUCUGGCCUAAUACUGACGCUGAGGUACGAAAGCAUGGGGAGCAAACAGGAUUAGAUACCCCAGUAGUCCCUGUCUCUUAUAC
rnacentral:rRNA from 1 species